GGGUUGUGAGGUUAAGCGACUAAGCGUACACGGUGGAUGCCCUGGCAGUCAGAGGCGAUGAAGGGCGUGCUAAUCUGCGAUAAGCGCCGGUAAGGUGAUAUGAACCGUUAUAACCGGCGAUACCCGAAUGGGGAAACCCAGUGUGAUUCGUCACACUAUCAUUAACUGAAUCCAUAGGUUAAUGAGGCGAACCGGGGGAACUGAAACAUCUAAGUACCCCGAGGAAAAGAAAUCAACCGAGAUUCCCCCAGUAGCGGCGAGCGAACGGGGAGGAGCCCAGAGCCUGAAUCAGCAUGUGUGUUAGUGGAAGCGUCUGGAAAGGCGCGCGAUACAGGGUGACAGCCCCGUACACAAAAGCGCAUAUGCUGUGAGCUCGAUGAGUAGGGCGGGACACGUGGUAUCCUGUCUGAAUAUGGGGGGACCAUCCUCCAAGGCUAAAUACUCCUGACUGACCGAUAGUGAACCAGUACCGUGAGGGAAAGGCGAAAAGAACCCCGGCGAGGGGAGUGAAAAAGAACCUGAAACCGUGUACGUACAAGCAGUGGGAGCCCCACCACUAAGCCAGUGGUGAACUCCACAUACGCAUCCUUUGCUGAGGAGACGGUUAACGGAGCGAAAGCGACGUUCAACCUCAAAAGAAGCAGAGGGGGCUUAGUGGUGGGGUGACUGCGUACCUUUUGUAUAAUGGGUCAGCGACUUAUAUUCUGUAGCAAGGUUAACUGUAUAGGGGAGCCGGAGGGAAACCGAGUCUUAACCGGGCGUUAAGUUGCAGGGUAUAGACCCGAAACCCGGUGAUCUAGCCAUGGGCAGGUUGAAGGUUGGGUAACACUAACUGGAGGACCGAACCGACUAAUGUUGAAAAAUUAGCGGAUGACCUGUGGCUGGGGGUGAAAGGCCAAUCAAACCGGGAGAUAGCUGGUUCUCCCCGAAAGCUAUUUAGGUAGCGCCUCGUGAAUUCAUCUCCGGGGGUAGAGCACUGUUUCGGCUAGGGGGCCAUCCCGGCUUACCAACCCGAUGCAAACUGCGAAUACCGGAGAAUGUUAUCACGGGAGACACACGGCGGGUGCUAAUGUCCGUCGUGAAGAGGGAAACAACCCAGACCGCCAGCUAAGGUCCCAAAGUCAUGGUUAAGUGGGAAACGAUGUGGGAAGGCCCAGACAGCCAGGAUGUUGGCUUAGAAGCAGCCAUCAUUUAAAGAAAGCGUAAUAGCUCACUGGUCGAGUCGGCCUGCGCGGAAGAUG
rnacentral:rRNA from 1 species